UUUUUAUCAAUGGUAAAAGAGCAGGGAGUGGAGCUAUGGUUUGGAGCGAGAUGACACCCAAGUGAGAUGGGCUAAAGCCGAAGGCGGGAGAUGAUGCAGGUUAAAGGGGAUUAGAAACAAAGAAGUGGGACGGAGGCUCAAGAUGGAAUUUGAUGCGACUAUUCGAGAUAAACUGAAACAUCAUCUCACCCUCUUACUGGGCCAAACUGAGCAAUGGAUUGACUUUUCUUUAUUUGAGUUUCAUGCACAUAUUAGAUGAUGGU
rnacentral:lncRNA from 1 species